rnacentral:lncRNA from 1 species
GUUAAGUCGGAUCUCACUGGAGCCUUCAUCGGAAGAGGUAGAGAAUCUUUUUGCAUUCAAAUAAUAUCCAUAUCUGGAUUCAUCAGAGAAAAUAAAUAUGAAUAUGGAUAUAUUCAUAUUCGAUCUGUAUCUAGUUUAGUUUCAGUCCUAGUUUAUCCUAAACAGUUGAAGCGGAUAAGCUGGUUGGUUCACCUGUUCCUGUGAUGCAUUGGAGAUUGCAUAGUUUGUAAGCUUGUUGAAUGCAAAUUAAACAAGUACUAAAAAGUUUCCUCAAGACUAAAUGAGUUUUUUAGCAUUUAGCUGCAAUGCCAUCAGAGGUCUUCAUUUCUGUAUUGAUUUCACUAGCAUCUUAGUUUUGACCGUGUUUCCUGAAGGAGGCACUUGAAAUCAACUUUGUGUAACCUCGUUGAGAAAAUAAUGAUAAUAAUAAUUGUAAUAAUAGUGUUUGCAUGGUUGGUUUUUCGCUUUAUGAAGUUGCAAUCUGAAGCAGCUCGAAUAAAUUAUGCUGAAAAAUUACGCUACCAAUUUUUUAGCUACUAUCAGAUGCAGCUCGAACAAAUUAUGCUGAACCAAUUAGCAGGCUGAAACAAGAAUGACGGAGGCUUGUGUUGAAGGUGGUUCCAUUUGAACGGUGCUUGUUUUCUCAACCAUUGUGCUUUGAGAUUAUUGCUACGGUCCUGUUUUCGAUUUGGCUGACCGUAGCACCUACUGUUACCGGAGAAGUAUGGUGGGCAUUCCUACGAAUCAUGCAGGGACCUCGAAGGUGGGAGCUAAGCCGGAUCUAAGUUGGAAAAGG